UUGGAAGGGAAAUAUAUUUUACAUGUAAAAAAAAUUUCACAUAUACACUAAAAUUUCCCAUUUUGUUUUCCGACCAAAUUAGGAAGAAAAAACAAAACCCUGUUCUCAUCGUCUCUCAAUCACUCUCGCGACUCUCAAGUCUCACCCGCUCAUGACUCAAUCUCUCUCUCACGCAACUCUCAGUGCUCUCAUGACUCUCACCUAGCUCACAGGGUGAGGCAAUCUCUCUCUCACGUGAUUCUCAGCGAUCUCUCUCUCAGGCGACUCUCAUUCUGCUCAAGCAGGGUGAGACGAUCUCUCUCACGCGACUUUCAUUCUGUUUGUGGUUUUCCUUCGCAACAAGUUGUUGGUUCUCUUCCUCAAGAGAAGAAUUUGGAAUCUCUAAUUCUCAGGUAAUGAGGCCAAGGUCAUUGAAGCCAUGCCUUACAGCUCUGCUUGAACUAAUAUUGGUGUUGAGUGACUAGGAGCAUAAAUAGCUGCGUGACUCCAGACGCUGACAACCCAUUGCAACCUCUCUAACUAGAGAGAGAGAGAGAGAGAGAGUUAUGAUGGAAGAAGAAAGAUCCUCUGGUGUACGCAACCUGCAAGAGACACCGACUUGGGCGGUGGCUAGCAUUUGCUUUUUCCUCAUACUCCUCUCCAUAAUCUUUGAAUGCUGCAUGCGCCACAUUGUCAAAUGGCUCAGGAAGCAUAAGAAGAAGGCAUUGGAAGAGGCUGUGGAGAAGCUUAAAUCAGAGGUCAUUUAGGAGGGAUACUAACUGAAGGAAAUGACAAGGGAUUCAUAGAAAUGCAACCAAGUUUAUAUAAUGUUGUGCUUGAAGAUGAUACUUAUAAGGGAGAGAUCAAAAUUGGCUUUAAAUUCAUAGCAAAUGUAGAAGUGCAAAAGGAUUGCGUGUCACUACUUCCAUGGUCCAAACCCACCUUCCAACUCAAAAUGUUUAAAGUAAUGCAAUUGGGCUUGGGAUCUUUUUGAACAUUAGAUAUUUUUCAUAAACAAUAAUGUCAUAGAUGAAGUUGAUUAGUUUUGUAUCAGAUGAACUUAAUAUGAUUUAUCUAUUCAUUUAUGUGAAAUGAGAAGUCACAAAGUGUUUUAGUUGAAAACAAACUUCUAAUAUGAUCACUGAACAUUUUCCAA